rnacentral:rRNA from 1 species
GUGGGGAAUAUUGGACAAUGGGCGAAAGCCUGAUCCAGCCAUGCCGCGUGUGUGAAGAAGGUCUUCGGAUUGUAAAGCACUUUAAGUUGGGAGGAAGGGUAGUAACCUAAUACGUUGCUACUUUGACGUUACCGACAGAAUAAGCACCGGCUAACUUCGUGCCAGCAGCCGCGGUAAUACGAAGGGUGCAAGCGUUAAUCGGAAUUACUGGGCGUAAAGCGCGCGUAGGUGGUUCAGUAAGUUGGAAGUGAAAUCCCCGGGCUCAACCUGGGAACUGCUUUCAAAACUGCUGAGCUAGAGUACGGUAGAGGGUGGUGGAAUUUCCUGUGUAGCGGUGAAAUGCGUAGAUAUAGGAAGGAACACCAGUGGCGAAGGCGACUACCUGGACUGAUACUGACACUGAGGUGCGAAAGCGUGGGGAGCAAACAGGAUUAGAAACCCCGGUAGUCC